GACGAACGCGGGCGGCGUGCCUAAUACAUGCAAGUAGAACGCUGAAGGAGGAGCUUGCUUCUCCGGAUGAGUUGCGAACGGGUGAGUAACGCGUAGGUAACCUGCCUGGUAGCGGGGGAUAACUAUUGGAAACGAUAGCUAAUACCGCAUAAGAGUAGAUGUUGCAUGACAUUUGCUUAAAAGGUGCAAUUGCAUCACUACCAGAUGGACCUGCGUUGUAUUAGCUAGUUGGUGGGGUAACGGCUCACCAAGGCGACGAUACAUAGCCGACCUGAGAGGGUGAUCGGCCACACUGGGACUGAGACACGGCCCAGACUCCUACGGGAGGCAGCAGUAGGGAAUCUUCGGCAAUGGACGGAAGUCUGACCGAGCAACGCCGCGUGAGUGAAGAAGGUUUUCGGAUCGUAAAGCUCUGUUGUAAGAGAAGAACGAGUGUGAGAGUGGAAAGUUCACACUGUGACGGUAUCUUACCAGACAGGGACGGCUAACUACGUGCCAGCAGCCGCGGUAAUACGUAGGUCCCGAGCGUUGUCCGGAUUUAUUGGGCGUAAAGCGAGCGCAGGCGGUUAGAUAAGUCUGAAGUUAAAGGCUGUGGCUUAACCAUAGUACGCUUUGGAAACUGUUUAACUUGAGUGCAAGAGGGGAGAGUGGAAUUCCAUGUGUAGCGGUGAAAUGCGUAGAUAUAUGGAGGAACACCGGUGGCGAAAGCGGCUCUCUGGCUUGUAACUGACGCUGAGGCUCGAAAGCGUGGGGAGCAAACAGG
rnacentral:rRNA from 1 species